rnacentral:ncRNA from 1 species
GUUCCGGCCAAGUGCCGGAGCUUAAAAGGGAAGUCCGGUGUAAUGCCGGCGCGGUCCCGCCACUGUAACGGAGGAGUCGGAUGCAUAGGGUGCCACUGGUGAUCAGAUCACCGGGAAGGCCGUGUCCGGCGAUGAUGCCGAAGCCAGGAGACCUGCCUAUUUC